UGGGUGAAAGUUUGAUGAAGAACAGGACAUUUACAUCUCCCUACAAGAUCCUAUCUCCAUAUGUAAAACCCUAAUAUGCAAAUAGACUGAACGGUGGGAGAACCGAACAACCGAACAAUGGUCGCUAUGAUGUUCUCUGACCACCAGGGGGCACGCAUGGAACAUGGCGGGUGUCGGCUGUGGCAGGAUGGUGGAGCAGGCUCAGCAAGCUUUGGGGCUGAGAAAGGGGGAGCUUUCGUGGUUGAUGACCAGAGAAAAGUGGCCGGGACAGGCACAGCUUAUCUCUGAUGACUCAGAUCUGGCAGAUAUGGGAGAACGUCUCAUCAGGACUGAUGAGGUCCCGGUAGAUGAUCUUGAUGGCGGCUGGAAG